AUCCUUCUCCAGCAGCCUUAACUCGAUCAGGGCUGCAGCGGCUCGCUGGCUUGACCAGUGCAGAAGGGGCGUGGAGGUGAGGGGGGUGGGGUAGGACUCUGAACUUCAAGCACUGGAGUUUGCCGGGAUCGUGAACUUGCAGGGAGAGGCGGUCCUCAUCCAGUGAGGUCUGUAUCGCCACCUACACCCACACAUCCACACACUGCUUUGCUAGCUAGAGGAAUGCUCUGGAGUAGGACCAGUGCUGUCAAAGAAGGAAAGUGGGCCAAGGCGCCAAAGUCCAUUAAAAAGGAAUAGAGCCAUCACGGAGUGGUGCUGCCCCAUUCAUUCAUUCAUUUGUUCAUCCGUGUAGCGAAUAUUUCUUAAGUGCCUUACUUUGCGUAGCUGUGUGCUUGGCAGUGGGAUGAUACCAAAGAUGCACAAGCAACUUUGAGUACCAAGACUUUGCCGCUGUGGGCUGGGGGAUUCAGGGAAGGCUUUCCCAGAGGAGCUGGGAUGAAAGCAGGAUCUUGAAAGGUCAGUAAAAUUUGUAUAAGACAAGGAGACCAGCUAAGCUAAGGAUAUUCGUUGUAACACUGUAAUAGCAAAACCUUGAAAACAACAUAAAUGCCCACCCUUAGAGGAAUGGAUGAAUAAUGUAUGGUAUAUUUAUAAAAUGAAAUGCAACACAGUAAUUGAAAAGACUAUAGCUAUUUAUGUCAAUAGGGAUAAAUCUUAAAAACUAAAUGAUAGUGAAAAUAAUCGCAGAGGGAGACAAAGUAUACCAUUUAUGUAUAUUUUUUUCAAGACAAUACUACACAUUAUCUGUGGAUGCAUAUAUAUAGAUAUAGAUAUAGAUAUUAAGAGACUAUAACCAGAAUAGUAGUUACUUCCAGGGCAGGAGAGUAGGGGGUGUGAUCAAACCUGGGUACAAGUGGGCUAAGAAAAGAGCUAAAAGUAAGAACAACAACAAUAGUUGUAUGGACAUAUCAUUCCAGGAAAGAGCCCUCGUGAAAGCAAAGGUACAGUCAAAAGAGUAAGUAAAUGAGUUCUGUCUCUGUUAGCAGUGAGAGGAGUCAAGGACGGAAAGGGGGUUGGGACCAAAUUAUGCAGCCUUGAAUGGCAAGCUGAAAGGGUGGGGAGGCAGCUACCUCUUAGGUCACAUAAAACUAUUGAAAGUUUUUGAACAGAGUUGAGAUUGAUGGAAAGGAAGAUUGCUCUGAUAGUUCUGUAGAAAAUUGAUUGUUGGGAGCAAGAGGUGAACUGGAGCCCCAGGACCAGUCAAGAGUUGGUGAACAGUCCAGGCACAAAUUUAAGAAGACCUGAACUAAUAAGGUAGAUUUCAGAAGGAAUGAAUCUGAGACAAUGUUAAAGAAACAGAAAAAAAAAUGGAGGUGUGACUAAUUGGAUGUGGGAGUUUACAAUCCUGUUGGGAUGGGAAAUCCUACCCAUAGAACCUCUCCCUGACUCCUAUAGGAUAAAAUUCAAACUUCUAAACAUGGUACAUACAAGGCCUUUUCGUCAUUGGGCCCCAUCUCCUGUCCUCCCUGCCCCUGUUGUGAACUUCACACAAUAACAGUAUUGGCUAACUUGAGAUUCCCCCAAACAUAUCUUGCUGUUUCUGUCCCUGUAUCUUUUGUUCCUUUGGCUUGGAAUGACUCCUGUAGUCCCCUUCCCUCCUCCUCUUAAUGAACUUCUAAUCAUAAUUCAUCCUUCAGUCCAAAGAAGGCUUUGCCGACACCACAAUAAAUUCCUCCCUCUAACAGACAGUCCCUCCACUGUCUUCCACUGCCGCUUCUUUAUCUUAACACCAAUACUUAUUUUUCACACAGGACUCUUUGUAUUUCUGUGUUCUCAACUAAGUUUUGAGGUCCUCAUGGGCAAAGACCACAGCCUAUUAAUCCCCAGUGUCUAUCACAUAAUAGAUGUUGAACUAGAAUGUAAAACAACACUAAGCAAGUACAAGUCAGUAUGGGCAUAGACCUAUGAAAUUCCAAAACUGCAUGUUAACAAGCACUUUAGGUAAGCAAGUAUCAUUAGUGAAAGUAGUCACAUUGAAAUACUGGAAACCCUUUUCAAAAAUAACGUAGUCAAAAUAUUUUUGGAAUUUGUCUUGUGCAAGUAUGUUCAGAGAAAGAUAACAUUAUUUUUCAGUUGUUUACCCACAGUGUUACCAGUUCGAUCUUCCUCUUUACUCACUAAAGAUAAUUCAUAGUGACUUGGCUGCAUACAAAUUUUAAAAAUCACCUGCAAAGAUAAGUUUUGUCACUAUUAAAAUAUAUUCAGAAGAAUAUAAGAUAGUUAUCCCCAAAGAGCAACUCUAGAAGCGACUGUAGCUAUGACAACAUUAUUAAAAUAAAUGUGCAGGCCAGGCGUGGCGGCUUAUGUCAUAAUCCCAGCACUUUGGGAAGCUGAGGUGGGCAGAUCACCUGAGGUCAGGAGGUCGAGACCAGCCUGGCCAACAUGUUGAAAACCCGUCUCUACUAAAAAUACCAAAAAUUAGCCGGGCAUGGUGGCGAGCACCUGUAAUCCCAGCUACUCAGGAGACUGAGGCAGUAGAAUCACUUGAACCCAGGAGGCAGAGAUUGCAGUGAGCCAAGAUCGUGCCACUGUACUCCAGCCUGGACAACAAGAGUGAAACUCCGUCUCAAAAAAAAAAAAAAAAGAAAAUAGGUAUGCAGUUUCUCAAAGUAACCGUUUUAAAGAAAGCAGCUAUUAUGUUCACAUAUAACUUUUGUUGAAUGUGUUACAAUAUGAAAACUUACUGCAUACAUUCUGGUAAGGACAAGAGAAGUAAAGAGUAAAUAUGAAUGGAAGUAAGGGAAAAAUAUGACUGAAGACAUUUUUUAAAGAUAAGUUUUAAUGAUAGAAAAAUAUGAAUAAGGGCUACCAAUUGUUUUAGUUUUAAUCAAAACUAAAAAUAUACAUCUAUGUCUUUACUGAUUUAAACUCACAUAAAACUGCCUUCCAAAAUAAAUGCAGAAUUGGGCACUUAUUUGUUCUCAUGUCUGUCCUCUCAGAGCCAAUAAGCUGUAAAAAACUCUCAAAAUAAAACUCUGUUUUAUUUUCUGUUUUGCCCCGGUUUCUAUCACAUAAGUGCUCAAUAAUAUAUGCUUUACAUAAAUGCUGAAUGAGGAACAUAUAUAUCUAUAUAAACUGGGGAGCAAUGCAAGACUGGAAGAAUGUCUUGAUGUGUUGGAGAAGUUGAAGAAGAGAUUGUGGGAUAGCUAUGACACAUAGAUUGAGCUACACCACGAAUCUCUCCAUGUAACCCAGGAACCCAAGGAUAUGUGAUGAGAUGUUUGUGGAAGCAGGAAUUAAAAGGAAGAUUUCUUUUAAUAAUGCCUUGCAGUUGCGCAGUGAUUUAGACCUUCCAAAAACACUUUUAAUUAUAUUAUCUCAUUUGAUCCUCAAAACAAUCGUGGGAAAUAGGCACCCCAGUCAUUAUUAUCCCCAUUUUGCAGAUGAAGAAACUGAGAUAGAGCUUUAAGUAUCUUGCCCAAGGUUAAAUAAGUAAUUAGUGAGCUGAGACAAACCCCCCACUAUUUCUGUCCUCUUACUCAGUCUCACUCCACUGUACCUUUGUGCAACAAUGUGAAGCACAUCCAAGAUGAUAUUUAGUGUGGGGACCUCUGCGUAGAGGGACACCAGUUUCUUGUCACUUCCAUAUUAGCACAGAACAAGCUGACCCACUGUAACUAGGAAACAUAAGUGAAUACAUUCUUUUAAUUUAAAAUUUUUUUGAGAGCCUGUUCUCUACAAAGCACAUACUAGGCUCUGCGGCAAUGCAGAAAUAAAUAAAACCUAGUCCCUGUUCUUUGGAGAUCACAGAGCAGUGAGGCAGGCCAACAUACAAAUAACAUAACUACAACAGAGAUAAAGCACAGGGAUAUGGGAAAGUAGAGAGCACUGGGAUUAAUUUUGAGUCCACUUUCCUCUCAUCCAGUCCCCAGCCUGAAAGAUAUGAACUGUGGUGGCCCACACAGCGGGACUGUAAACCAUGUGACAAGAGUCAUUUCUUACCCCUUAUUCAUGUUUGUAAACUCCACAGUAGUUGGUUCUUUGCCUUGCAUAGAGUAUGUGCUCAAUAAAGACCUACUUUCUGAAAGGUUCACAGAGUUCAGCCCAACACAGGACAAGUUCUAGAAGGCAAGAAGUUAACCUCAAGAUUCAAAGUAGCUCUGAGAAUUAAGAACCAGCCAGACCCUUCCACUGAGCCUAGACCCAAUUAAUUACCUCUGCUCUAAUUAAGGGAAUCAGUAAUGUACUAACAGUCUAAGCAGAAAAAGAAGAACAGAUGGUGGUAAGACCUAGAAUGUUUACCCCAUUAAGAUCUAUAUCUGAAUCCAGAAGGAACACCUCAUUGCUGAGAAGAGCCCUGCAGACAGUUCACACCUCUGUUUCUUUUGCAAGAUAUAGCUACCUCAAAAAAUCCUUUCUUGAUCAAACUCUUAUGGCCUGGAAUCCUUGCGUUUCUGCUGAUGACUGUCAUUUUAGAGUACUUACUAAAGACAAUGGUUGGGGAAAUAGAUAUUUUAAAAAUAAGGGAAGAAGUGGGUAGGGUAAACCCAGGCUUACUUAUGUAAACUCUGAGUGCUGAAGUUAGAAGACAACCUUUAAGAUUAAAAAAAAAAAAAAAAAAAAAAAAACGGCAAAGUUAGAACACACAAAAGAUAGUAUAGUUCCUUACCCAUCCACCACUUGGUUUUGAGGAGAAAAGGGAAGUAAGAAGAGUUGAAGAGAAGAAAAACAGAACAGAAGAGUGGGAAAGGAAGAUGAAAGGGUGCUCUGGAGUACUAUGCACCUGUUUAGAAGUGGGGAAGUAGCACAAACACUAGCAAAAGAAGAACCACCAUGGAGUUCCUCCUUGCACAUCUCUCUCCCCUCCUGAAGGCCUAUGGUGAGCCCACAGCAUUGUUCCAGCAGUGAGGGAGUCUUCACUGCCCCGAGACUCUCUCAUGGCUCUUAAGAUACCUCCCUGAAGUCCCUCCAAAGAAUUCAAUGUGCCCCUAGUCUAAAUCACUUUCCUCCAUCAUAAAUACUCAUAGAUGACGCAACAAUAAAGCGUUAAUAACGAUAAUGGCAA